CAUUCAGAGAUGGGUGGGCGCGUGAGCGUCCCCCAUACACACUCGACACCUGUGUCACGUCCUUUCUUGCGUAAUUGGGGGUAUUGGUGUGAGCGCACGUGUUCUCGCGCGCACACGCACACCACGCUCCCAUCCGCCAUGACGCGCUUGCGCGCGACACGGCGGCUCGCAUAUGCAAACCCAAAGAACACACACUUGACAGCAAAAAUGUGUACAUACACAAAGUAGCAUAUAUACAACUGUUAGCAACGGAUCACUCGGCUCUCGUGUCGAUGAAGAGCGUAGCGAAUUGCGAAAAGUAAUGCGAUCUGCAAUCAUCGUGAAUCAUCGAGUCCUUGAACGCACCUUGCACGCGUCGCUCUCAAGGCGACGCGUCUGCCUGGGUGAGCAUCGAUUUGUCCUUUGGUUACGUUGCGUGCGUAAUGCGCGCAACGACGACCGUCGUGAGCUUGCGAUGGCGAAACGCGCCGACGCUUGCUUGAAAUGCAUUGGGUAUAUAAUCGGUUCCAUAUGGUAGUGGUGGGUCGCAUACGCCGGUUGCGGUCGGGUGUGUUCGCAUUGCGCGCACGCCCGAUCCCAUCACGGGUCCCCGACUUCACUCACAACAGCCCAACACACACUAUCCGGGACGGAUGCUUGGGUGGCAUCUGCAAUGUCUAUUAUACGCAGCGAGUGCCA
rnacentral:misc_RNA from 1 species